ACCAUGUAGUCGUCAUUCGUUUGUUUCUACGGUUUAGUUUUUACCACAGAACUGAAUGUAACUCCAGAAUUGGUGACCAUGAAUAUAAGUUUAGAAGGACAAGGUUUUAAGAUGAAGUUUGGUUGGAAUGCAGAGCUUGCAGCAGUUGGUACGACCUUGAUGACACAAUUCUGGGAGCGACCCUAGUGAAACAUACAACACUGAACAGGCUAGGUGUGAGAUGGUUCAAACAAGUAUGCUCCUGAUCAACUCUGAAUGAGAAUGUGGUUAAACAUUCAUGAAGGGAAUCCAAACAAUCAUGUGCAGAACUUAAGAUAAAAGAACAGUUUAAUAUUGGAAAAUAUUUUCUUGAGCAGUGUAUUAUUUUCAUUAAUUACUGUAAGCACAUUCCUCUAAUUUUAAUUACUUUGCUAUUGAUCCUAUCAUUUAUGUUGACCUUUUACUUAUCAGAAAUUUUGUUUGUCUCUCUUUUUUUUUAAAUUAGUUGUGUGCAGAGUUCGUGCUGUAUUGUCACUAAUACUUGAUCCAGAAUAAAUAAUGCCAAAUGUUAUCCAUUAAA